AUGGUCGUUUCUUUAAAACCUCAAAACCCCAACAACCCGGAAGCUGGACGUCUGAAGUCCACGCGGCCCGGGGUUUUCAUCCCGGCUCGUGCAGGGGGGCGGGGGGAGACGGCCGCGGGGUCUCUGGCUCUCCGCCCGGGCAGUCGCGGCGGCGGCGGCGGCGGCGGCGGCAGCGCCGCGCCCGGGGCCCGGGACCCGGGGCUACUUCCCGCGUUCCCGGGCCUCGCAGGCGCGAGCUCGGCGCGCGGCUCGGCUCGCAGGACGCCCUCUAGCCCUGCCGGCGGCGCGCCGCGGCCCCCCCACUCCCCGCCCACCGGCGGCUGCGCGCACUGCACACUCGCCUGCCGCCGCCGCACGCCGCCCGGCUCCUGCACGCCGCCGCCGCCGCUGCCGCCGCCGCCGCCGCCGCGCCGAGCGCCCGGGCCCGCGACGCCGCCCGCAGAGCGCCGGACCCAGCUACACGCAGCCGCGGUCGGGCGGCCCCGCGGCGGCGGCGGGCGCGGCGGGCGCGGGCGGCCUGGCCGGGGCCGGUUAAAGGGACGAGUUGCAAACAGUUCAGGAAGUGACAAGUCGAUUUCCUCCUCCCUGGGAGCCGCUCGGUACAAAGCGCUCGGCGCCGGCAGGAGAGCGUGCGCGCGGCGGACGCGCGGCGGGCAGCCCGGACGACUUGGCGAGCGCCGGCGGCGACGGCGCGGGGCCCGCGCCCGGAGCGCCCUGCCGCGCACAGGCGCUGACCACGCUCGGCCAUUGCCUGGAAGAGCCCCACCCGAGGGUGAGCAGCCCGUGGGGAGCUGCUUCUGCUGACAUCAUCACCCAGGAGGUGCCCAGGAGGUCGCCUCUGCCUGUGUUUCCACCCGAGGAUGGCCUGUGCCCGCCCUGGGCUGGCGCCCAGCGCCUGAGGUCCUUACCAUGGUGAUGAUCCUGAGUCAGAGCCUCGACAAGCAGGGAGCGGACCCCAUAGCAUGCAGGACCUUCAGCCCUGAGCUGCACACGCCAAAGAAGAUGAGUCAAGGACCGACACUUUUCUCUUGUGGAAUUAUGG
rnacentral:lncRNA from 1 species